AACGAACGCUGGCGGCGCGCCUAAUACAUGCAAGUCGAGCGAGAAGGUGUAGCAAUACACUUGUAAAGCGGCGAACGGGUGAGGAAUACAUGGGUAACCUACCCUCGAGUGGGGAAUAACUAGCCGAAAGGUUAGCUAAUACCGCAUACGAUUCCAGGACUUCGGUCCUGGAAGGAAAGCACUACCGUGGGUAGUGCGCUCCUGGAUGGGCUCAUGUCCUAUCAGCUUGUUGGGAGGUAAAGGCUCACCAAGGCUUCGACGGGUAGCUGGUCUGAGAGGACGAUCAGCCACACUGGCACUGCGACACGGGCCAGACUCCUACGGGAGGCAGCAGUAAGGAAUAUUGCGCAAUGGGCGAAAGCCUGACGCAGCGACGCCGCGUGGGGGAGUGAAGGUC
rnacentral:rRNA from 1 species